rnacentral:pre_miRNA from 1 species
UUAACUCAAAUUUGUACGGAGUUGGAACGCUUGCCUACGUUUGCCGCUAGGGGCGCUGUUCCAACUGCAUACAAUUUUGAGUUA